rnacentral:tRNA from 1 species
AAGAAAGGAUAUUGGAACUGCUAAUUCCAAACCACCAUAACUAACGACUAUGGCUUUCUUA